rnacentral:rRNA from 1 species
GUUACGCUAAUACCGCAUAUUCUGUGAGCAGGAAAGCAGGGGAUCGCAAGACCUUGCGCUCUGGGAGCGGCCGAUGUCGGAUUAGCUAGUUGGUGGGGUAAAGGCCUACCAAGGCGACGAUCCGUAGCGGGUCUGAGAGGAUGAUCCGCCACACUGGGACUGAGACACGGCCCAGACUCCUACGGGAGGCAGCAGUGGGGAAUUUUGGACAAUGGGCGGAAGCCUGAUCCAGCCAUGCCGCGUGAGUGAAGAAGGCCUUCGGGUUGUAAAGCUCUUUUCGGCCGGGAAGAAAUCGCAUGGGUCAAUACCCUGUGUGGAUGACGGUACCGGAAUAAGAAGCACCGGCUAACUACGUGCCAGCAGCCGCGGUAAUACGUAGGGUGCGAGCGUUAAUCGGAAUUACUGGGCGUAAAGCGUGCGCAGGCGGUUUGGUAAGUCAGAUGUGAAAUCCCCGGGCUCAACCUGGGAACUGCAUUUGAGACUGCCAAGCUGGAGUUUGGCAGAGGGGGG